rnacentral:rRNA from 1 species
CCUACGGGAGGCAGCAGUGGGGAAUAUUGCACAAUGGGCGAAAGCCUGAUGCAGCCACGCCGCGUGAAGGAAGAAGGCCUUCUGGUCGUAAAAUUCUGUCCGUGGGGAAGAAGAACUGGCUGUACCCAAGCAGGCAGCCCCGGCUAACUACGCGCCAGCAGCCGCGGUAAUACGUAGGGGGCAAGCGUAAUCCGGAAUUAUUGGGGGUAAGGGGUACGUAGGUGGCAACCUAAGCGCAGGGUUAAAGGCAAGGGCUAAACCAUUGUCCGCCCUGGGAACUGGGAUGCUUGAGUGCAGGAGAGGAAAGCGGAAUUCCUGGUGUAGCGGUGAAAUGCGUAGAUAUUAGGAGGAACACCAGUGGCGAAGGCGGCUUUCUGGACUGUAACUGACACUGAGGUACGAAAGCGUGGGGAGCAAACAGGAUUAGAUACCCGAGUAGUC